GACUGUAAAACAACCCCUAGACUCCGAUCUAGGUAUGAACAUGAAAUAGAAGAUGAGAGGAAUGUUUUUAUAACGUCCGUUUGCCGUGAAACGGCCGGAGGUGUUCGGAAAGUGCGACGACACCGACGGCCUUGCCGGAGAUGGGUGUGCCUAUCCCGAGUCGAUUUCAUCCCAAAAACCUUGCAAAAAGACGAGAUAUAACUUCAAUUUCACAUCUAAGCUUCGAUCUAGAACAUAAAAAGAAAAACCCAAAGCUUACCUAACCGGAGAAAUAGAAGGAACUCGCCGGAGCAGGUGCGAUGGUGUGCAUGUGGGUUCGACGAGGAGGGAGGAGCAGAGGAGAUGGGUGAUGAGACCUAAAAACCCUUAACCAAACCAUUAUUAAGUUGAGAAGCGUGAGAGUGCUUUGAACACUCUUUCGUGGCCUUCCACCGUGGUAGGCUCCAAUCGUUUGUGACUCGUACACCGGCUUCACCCUAUCAUGGGGGAGUACAAAGUGCGUGCUUACACUCAGGAGGAGUCUAUAUGCAUACUUGAUGUUGUGAAAGGUAGGCAACGAGAAUAGCCAACAUCAUCUCAUUGUGAGGUUGUUCUUGAACCCCUACCCGAACUUGCAUGGUGGGAAAUGACUUAACUAAGUGCAAUAGAGCCAACAUCAUAUCAUUGUGAGGCUACAUUCUCUAGAGGCCAAAUAAGAUGGGUACUUGCAAGCAUGGAAGAAAAUAUCGAUAAUAUCGGCGAUAUAUCACCGAUAUUAUCGAAUUUUCGUUAACCCGAUAUUCUAAGUGGUAUCCAAGGGGUUUUCGUCAUAAUUUCGCGAUAAUAUCGAUAAUAUCGAUAAUAUCGCGAUAUUAUCGAUAUUAUCGCGAAAUUAUCGGAACUGUGGAAGUCGGAGACGAACGCCGGAGCUUCUACAGCUCCGGGCGACUGUAAAACAACCCCUAGACUCCGAUCUAGGUAUGAACAUGAAAUAGAAGAUGAGAGGAAUGUUUUUUAUAACGUCCGUUUGCCGUGAAACGGCCGGAGGUGUUCGGAAAGUGCGACGACACCGACGGCCUUGCCGGAGAUGGGUGUGCCUAUCCCGAGUCGAUUUCAUCCCAAAAACCUUGCAAAAAGACGAGAUAUAACUUCAAUUUCACAUCUAAGCUUCGAUCUAGAACAUAAAAAGAAAAACCCAAAGCUUACCUAACCGGAGAAAUAGAAGGAACUCGCCGGAGCAGGUGCGAUGGUGUGCAUGUGGGUUCGACGAGGAGG
rnacentral:lncRNA from 1 species